GAUGAACGCUGGCGGCGUGCCUAAUACAUGCAAGUCGAGCGAACAGACGAGGAGCUUGCUCCUCUGACGUUAGCGGCGGACGGGUGAGUAACACGUGGAUAACCUACCUAUAAGACUGGGAUAAAUUCGGGAAACCGGAGCUAAUACCGGAUAAUAUAUUGAACCGCAUGGCUCAAUAGUGAAAGGCGGUUUUGCUGUCACUUAUAGAUGGAUCCGCGCCGGAUUAGCUAGUUGGUAAGGUAACGGCUUACCAAGGCAACGAUGCGUAGCCGACCUGAGAGGGUGAUCGGCCACACUGGAACUGAGACACGGUCCAGACUCCUACGGGAGGCAGCAGUAGGGAAUCUUCCGCAAUGGGCGAAAGCCUGACGGAGCAACGCCGCGUGAGUGAUGAAGGUCUUCGGAUCGUAAAGCUCUGUUAUUAGGGAAGAACAAAUGUGUAAGUAACUAUGCACGUCUUGACGGUACCUAAUCAGAAAGCCCCGGCUAACUACGUG
rnacentral:rRNA from 1 species